rnacentral:rRNA from 1 species
CCUACGGGAGGCAGCAGUAGGGAAUAUUGCUCAAUGGGGGAAACCCUGAAGCAGCAACGCAGCGUGAAGGAAGAAGGGUUUCGGCUCGUAAACUUCUAUCAACAGGGACGAACGCAAUGACGGUACCUGAAUAACAAGCCCAGGCUAACUACUUGCCAGCAGCCGCGUUAAUACGUAGGGGGCAAGCUUUAUACGGAAUUACUGGGGGUAUAGGGGGAGUAGGCGGAAUGGUAAUCCAGAUGUGAACUCCGUGGGCUUAACCCGAGGAUUGCAUUUGGAACUAUCAAGCUAGAGUACAGGAGAGGAAAGCGGAAGUCCUAGUGUAGCGGUGAAAUGCGUAGAUAUUAGGAAGAACACCAGUGGCGAAGGCAGCUUACUAAACUGCCACUGACAGUGAUGCUCGAAAGUGGGGGUAUCAAACAGGAUUAGAUACCCGUGUAGUC